AUUGAACGCUGGCGGCAGGCCUAACACAUGCAAGUCGAACGGCAGCACAGAAGAGCUUGCUCUUUGGGUGGCGAGUGGCGGACGGGUGAGUAAUGUCUGGGAAACUGCCCGAUGGAGGGGGAUAACUACUGGAAACGGUGGCUAAUACCGCAUAACGUCGCGAGACCAAAGUGGGGGACCUUCGGGCCUCACACCAUCGGAUGUGCCCAGAUGGGAUUAGCUAGUAGGUGGGGUAAUGGCUCACCUAGGCGACGAUCCCUAGCUGGUCUGAGAGGAUGACCAGCCACACUGGAACUGAGACACGGUCCAGACUCCUACGGGAGGCAGCAGUGGGGAAUAUUGCACAAUGGGCGCAAGCCUGAUGCAGCCAUGCCGCGUGUAUGAAGAAGGCCUUCGGGUUGUAAAGUACUUUCAGCGGGGAGGAAGGCGGUGAGGUUAAUAACCUUGCCGAUUGACGUUACCCGCAGAAGAAGCACCGGCUAACUCCGUGCCAGCAGCCGCGGUAA
rnacentral:rRNA from 1 species